rnacentral:misc_RNA from 1 species
GAUGAAGAACGUAGUGAAAUGCGAUACUUGGUGUGAAUUGCAGAAUCCCGUGAACCAUCGAGUCUUUGAACGCAAGUUGCGCCCGAAGCCAUCAGGUUGAGGGCACGUCUGCCUGGGCGUCACAUAUCGUUGCCCAAUGCCUAUUGCAGUGCAAUAGGAAUUUCUAGGGCGAAUGAUGGCUUCCCGUGAGCGUUGUUGCCUCGCGGUUGGUUGAAAAUCGAGUCCUUGGUAGGGUGUGCCAUGGUAGAUGGUGGUCGAGUUAGAACGAUACCGAUCAUGUGCAUGCUCCCCAAAAUAUGGCCUCUAUGACCCACACGCGUCUUUUGACGCUCAUGACGAGACCUCAGGUCAGGCGGGGAUACCCGCUGAAUUUAAGCAUAUCAAUAAGCGGAGGA